CGGGGUGUAGCCCAGCGGUAGGGCGCCUGCUUUGGGAGCAGGAAGUCGGAGGUUCGAUCCCUCUCACCCCGACCA
rnacentral:tRNA from 1 species